AUACGUAGGGGGCGCGCGUUGUCCGGAAUGAUUGGGCGUAAAGGGCGCGUAGGCGGCUUUGCAAGUCAGUAGUGGAAGUCCAUUUUUCAAGGAUGGAAGUGAUACAGCAACUGCGGAGCUUGAGUGCAGGAGAGGUUAUCGGAAUUCCCGGUGUAGCGGUGAAAUGCGUAGAGAUCGGGAGGAACACCAGUGGCGAAGGCGGGUAACUGGACUGCAACUGACGCUGAGGCGCGAAAGUGUGGGGAGCAAACAGGAUUAGAUACCCUGGUAGUCCACACUGUAAACGAUGAAUGCUAGGUGUAGGAGGUAUCGACCCCUUCUGUGCCGCAGUAAACACAGUAAGCAUUCCGCCUGGGGAGUACGGUCGCAAGAUUAAAACUCAAAUGAAUUGACGGGG
rnacentral:rRNA from 1 species